rnacentral:rRNA from 1 species
AACGAACGCUGGCGGCGUGCCUAACACAUGCAAGUCGCGCGAGAAAAGGGAGCAAUCCCUGAGUAAAGCGGCGAACGGGUGAGUAACACGUAGGUAAUCUACCCCCGAGCCUGGGAUAACCUACCGAAAGGUGGGCUAAUACCGGAUAUGACCACGGGAGUUUCGGCUCCUGCGGUGAAAGGUGGCCUCUGCUUGCAAGCUACCGCUCGAGGAUGAGCCUGCGCGCCAUUAGCAGUUGCGGGGUAACGGCCCACCAAGGCGAUGAUGGCUAGCUGGUCUGAGAGGAUGGCCAGCCACACUGGGACUGAACACGGCCCAGACUCCUACGGGAGGCAGCAGUGGGGGAUCUUGCGCAAUGGGCGAAAGCCUGACGCAGCGACGCCGCGUGGGUGAUG